rnacentral:miRNA from 1 species
UUCGUGACCUUAAGAUAUGGG